CCUACGGGGAGGCAGCAGUGGGGAAUAUUGGACAAUGGGCGCAAGCCUGAUCCAGCCAUGCCGCGUGAGUGAUGAAGGCCUUAGGGUUGUAAAGCUCUUUUGCCAGGGAAGAUAAUGACUGUACCUGGAGAAUAAGCCCCGGCUAACUUCGUGCCAGCAGCCGCGGUAAUACGAAGGGGGCUAGCGUUGUUCGGAAUCACUGGGCGUAAAGCGCACGUAGGCGGACUUUUAAGUCAGGGGUGAAAGCCUGAGGCUCAACCUCAGAACUGCCCUUGAUACUGGGAGUCUUGAGUAUGGUAGAGGUUGGUGGAACAGCAAGUGUAGAGGUGAAAUUCGUAGAUAUUUGCUAGAACACCAGUGGCGAAGGCGGCCAACUGGACCAUAACUGACGCUGAGGUGCGAAAGCGUGGGGAGCAAACAGGAUUAGAUACCCUGGUAGUCCACGCCGUAAACGAUGGAUGCUAGCCGUUAGCCACGCUGUCGUGGUAGGUGGUCGGCGACGGUAACCCGUUUAACGUACACUCCCGUCCCGUCGGGGUAGGUACGGUCGGCGAACGAAGUUAAAACGUUAACGUAAAGUAGUAAGUUAGUUACGGUCGUUGAGACGUUGCCGACGGACGACGACGAGGGGAGGUUAGG
rnacentral:rRNA from 1 species